ensembl:snRNA U6 U6 spliceosomal RNA
GUGCUAGCUUUGGCAGCAUAUAUACUAAAAUAGGAACGAUACAGAGAAGAUAGGCAUGGCCCCUGGGCAAGAAUGACAUGAAAAUUUGUGAAGUGUUCCAUAUUUUG